AGUGAACGCUGGCGGUAGGCCUAACACAUGCAAGUCGAACGGCAGCACAGUAAGAGCUUGCUCUUACGGGUGGCGAGUGGCGGACGGGUGAGGAAUACAUCGGAAUCUACUUUUUCGUGGGGGAUAACGUAGGGAAACUUACGCUAAUACCGCAUACGACCUACGGGUGAAAGCAGGGGAUCUUCGGACCUUGCGCGAUUGAAUGAGCCGAUGUCGGAUUAGCUAGUUGGCGGGGUAAAGGCCCACCAAGGCGACGAUCCGUAGCUGGUCUGAGAGGAUGAUCAGCCACACUGGAACUGAGACACGGUCCAGACUCCUACGGGAGGCAGCAGUGGGGAAUAUUCGACAAUGGGCGAAAGCCUGAUCCAGCCAUACCGCGUGGGUGAAGAAGGCCUUCGGGUUGUAAAGCCCUUUUGUUGGGAAAGAAAAGCAGCAGGUGAAUCUCCCGAUGUUUUGACGGUACCCAAAGAAUAAGCACCGGCUAACUUCGUG
rnacentral:rRNA from 1 species